rnacentral:misc_RNA from 1 species
AAGAAACCACCGGUGAGAUUUCAUCCCUUGAAAAGCCACCGCCUCCAGCACCUCCACCCUCAGUGGAGCACACCCUCCCUGGUGGGAUUGGAACUUAUACUAUUAGCCACAUUUCUAAUUAUUUCAAUCAAAGAAUCUCAAAGCCAGAAGGUAGCGCAAUAUUCACCGUAGCGCAAGCCAGCAGUGCAGAGAAAAAUGAGGAUGAUUCCAACUGCAGUUCUUAUACCG